GUCAAAGUCAUAACAAUUUGCUUUGAAGCCAGCAAUGAAGAAUGUUCCUACUGCUUAGCAUCUCCUACUUUAGGAGCUCGCCUGAUUAGACCAGGUCCAUGCAGCUUGGUCUGAUUAACUCACCUGAAUGAUUAAGUACUCUAAUUAAUUAACUGCCAAAGUUCUUCAUCUUUGCCAUAGUGUGUUGGUUAGGAGAAGGUCACCAGCCUUAUGUGCACGUGGGGAAAGGAAUUAGAGGAGCAGACAUUGGGAGACAGGAAACAGGGCCAUUGUAGGAUGUGUCUGCCACCACAUCUUGGUAAUCGGUUAACUCUAACCUGCUACCACACAUCCCAAUCUUCAUUCACCUCAGGAUCGUGUAUUAAUUCUGCACCUCCAUCCAACUCACCUAUUAUUAUAGAAACAGUUAAGAUGCUCUGUAGUUCAAAUAUUUUACUGCUUUGUGAAUCAUAAAUCCCACAGUCCUGGAUGUUGUUGGGCAGGAGGUCAGGUUAGGACUAGAGAUUAGAUAUAUCAGCAACACCAAAGUCUUUGUGGAAAUGAACUGAGGAGAAAGAGAAGUGUGAGCAGCAGAAUGUUCAGCAUCUGAGUGGCCAGGUUAGUGGGUGGGGAAGAGGAUGUGGUCAUCCAGGAGGCUUUCGUCUCCCUGGGAGAUCAUACAGAGGCAGCAUGCACAGAUGAGUGGUCGGUAAAGUAGUCCAGGCGAUGGGAGUUAAGUCAGGAACAUGGGUCAGAAAGCUUGAGGACAUGUCUUACCAGCACGUCUGGCCAUCAGAAACACCUGGGAGAGCUUUUAAAAAAUACAGAUGCGAACCAUGAAUCCCACUAUUACG
rnacentral:lncRNA from 1 species